rnacentral:ncRNA from 2 species
AGCAAGAGUAGGUGGCCUGCGUUAAGUGUUAGAGAAUGGGACGUUGUCUCUAAACGAAAGGAUGAAAGAUUUCUGUUGAGAAAUUCUUUUAUCCUGCGGUAGGUCAUCGCGUCCGCUGCU